UUUAAAUACAUUCAUCAGUUUCCGUGUCUGACUUUGAUCGUCCGUCAUUUUUUUAUGAUUAGUAUUUUUUUCUUUUUAGAUGAUAAAACUUUAUGUGUGAUUUAUGUUUUUAUUUUUUUUUCAAAUAAGACGAAUGAUUAAGGUUGGAUAUGGAAACUCAUGACUACACUUAAA
rfam:Oryza rufipogon genomic scaffold, chr04